UCCACUGGGGAAGAAAGAAACAGUGAUUGACUUCUGAGAGAUUUACCAAAAGCUUUUCAAAGCUUGUUAUUUAAAGCCAGUCCUGAAUGUCUCAGGGCUAAGGCUGCCACAGAAGGCUGUGCCUGCCAACUGGUGUGAGAGGAGACGGAGAAGGGUAACACAUGCAGGCCACACACACACUCGGAUGUACUUCUGGAGCGGUGGCAGGAGGGCGGGGAAGUUCUACAAGGGAAACAUUUUGCUGAUGUGGAAGAGGUAGAACAGAAAACAGCAGGAGCACUAAGGGGCAUCAAAACCGACAAGUUCAAAAACUGUUUUUGAACAGUGGAAAAAAUCUCAAUAGGUGUAUUUCAUCAAAUGAGGCCACUGAUGUUGAUGAAGAUGGUUUUUUUAGUGGCUUUUUGCCUGGACAAAGUUUGUUCAGCAUCUUGAAGUUUUAGCACCUGAUAUGCACAGGCCUAAGAAAUUAUACCCAAGCCACCCCCCACCCCCCAAAACACCCCAAACGAGCCAGCCGCCCCCCCACGAUACAUACAGAAUCAUGGAAAGGGUUCUCUUAGCUAAUGACCUGUGAGCCAACCUAGCUGCCGGCCCAGCAACCAUCUCAAAGCUGCUUUGAAUUCUGAACACAGCAUUAUUCCAUGAAGGACAACACGGCGUGCAGCGGCAUUCUGGGAUAUGGUAAACUAUAAAAUGUAAAGAGCCACUCAAUGCUAUACAAAACAAAACAAA